GAUGAACGCUAGCGAUAGGCCUAACACAUGCAAGUCGAGGGGCAUCACAUGAAGUAGCAAUACGGAUGGUGGCGACCGGCGCACGGGUGAGUAACACGUAUGCAACCUGCCUUCAACAAGGGGAUAACCCGUUGAAAGACGGACUAAUACCCUAUAACACAGGGGUCCCGCAUGGGAAUAUUUGUUAAAGGACAACCGGUUGAAGAUGGGCAUGCGUUCCAUUAGCUAGUUGGCGGGGUAACGGCCCACCAAGGCAACGAUGGAUAGGGGAACUGAGAGGUUUAUCCCCCACACUGGUACUGAGACACGGACCAGACUCCUACGGGAGGCAGCAGUGAGGAAUAUUGGUCAAUGGACGCAAGUCUGAACCAGCCACGUCGCGUGAAGGAAGACGGCCCUACGGGUUGUAAACUUCUUUUAUACGGGAAUAAAUGCCCCACGCGUGGGGUUUUGCAUGUACCGUAUGAAUAAG
rnacentral:rRNA from 1 species